rnacentral:tRNA from 1 species
CCACCGGCGGUCUGGACGCCGGACGUCGCGUUGCUGCCGCCGCCCUUGAUGUUCGGCGCGGCACCGGCGGAC